CAUUGUCGAAUCGAACGGAAGGACGACCCGCGAACAGUCAUURCGUACUAGAGAGGCCCSGUGGGCGCGCGACGCUCCCKMGGCGGCUCGCSUCGCGUCGGCGUGGACGUACUCGAGGCCCACGUCGUUYCGACGAGAAAACAACGUCAGCACGGAUCGUGCCAAGGAGCUGCGCGGAGAGAAUCGUCGUCCCUCGUCGUCGGUCGCCCUCGAUGCGGGACGAUAGGCGUGGGACGCGAGCGAUCUCUGAUCAAGUCUAAAUGACUCUCGGCAACGGAUAUCUCGGUUCUUGCAUCGAUGAAGAACGUAGCGAAAUGCGAUACUUGGUGUGAAUUGCAGAAUCCCGCGAACCAUCAAUUCUUUGAACGCAAGUUGCGCCCGAAGCCAUUCGGCCGAGGGCACGCCUGCCUGGGUGUCGUGAAUCCCCUUGCCCCUGGGCACCCGUGUUCUUGCAUUCGCAUCGGCGGGGAAACGGUCGGGCGCAGAACGUGGCCUCCCGUAUCGUCACGCGCGGCGUUUCGAGGCGCGCGCGGCGUGUCGAAGAGCGGUUGGCCGAAAAUCGAGCAUGGAGGUGACGGGCACCACGGCAUUCGGUGGAUCGAAUGAGAUUGGCUGCGUCGUGGUCUCGGCACGCGUCUGGCUCCGGGCUUUGACGACCCCUAGUGCGA
rnacentral:rRNA from 1 species